rnacentral:rRNA from 1 species
UACGUAGGGAGCAAGCGUUGUUCGGAUUUACUGGGCGUAAAGGGCGCGUAGGCGGCAAAUUAAGUCAGCUGUGAAAUCUCCGAGCUUAACUCGGAACGGUCAGCUGAUACUGAUCUGCUAGAGUGCGGAAGGGGCAAUCGGAAUUCUUGGUGUAGCGGUGAAAUGCGUAGAUAUCAAGAGGAACACCUGAGGUGAAGACGGGUUGCUGGGCCGACACUGACGCUGAGUGCGCGAAAGCGUGGGUAGCAAACAGG